UAGAUAAGUUAAGAAAGAAAACUAACAGUUUAAUCUUGAAAUAAAAGUGCAAAUUUUUAUUUCAAGACUGAGUGCAUCAUUUUUACACACUUCUUUGAUGCUUAGUUACGUCUGAUAACUAAAGAAGAAAAAUUAUAAGGUUUCGUUGAAAUUGAAGAAAAAAGGCUGGGCAAAAUAAAUUUAACCGUCGCCAAAAUGAAUUAGAUGAGCCUAGUUAAUCCAAACUUGCAACAAUAAAUGUUGAAAUAUUCACAAAAGAUAAACAACCUCACAAAGUCGAAUUCGUUAUCCAGUGACUGAAAUGUUCUGAAUGUUGAUUGUAUUCAAAAAGCUAAAACGAAGCUUGAUAAUCUUCAAACUAUUUACUAAAAGAUAUAUAAUAAUGAAAAAAUGUUACAAAUUAAAUUGUUUUUAUAAGUAUUUUUAAAUAUAAAA